rnacentral:rRNA from 1 species
UUUAAUUGAAGAGUUUGAUCAUGGCUCAGAUUGAACGCUGGCGGCAGGCUUAACACAUGCAAGUCGAGCGGUAGCACARGGGAGCUUGCUCCCUGGGUGACGAGCGGCGGACGGGUGAGUAAUGUCUGGGAAACUGCCUGAUGGAGGGGGAUAACUACUGGAAACGGUAGCUAAUACCGCAUAACGUCGCAAGACCAAAGAGGGGGACCUUCGGGCCUCUUGCCAUCAGAUGUGCCCAGAUGGGAUUAGCUAGUAGGUGGGGUAAUGGCUCACCUAGGCGACGAUCCCUAGCUGGUCUGAGAGGAUGACCAGCCACACUGGAACUGAGACACGGUCCAGACUCCUACGGGAGGCAGCAGUGGGGAAUAUUGCACAAUG